GGGAAUGUGGCUUAGUGGUAGAGUACUUGCCUAGUAUGCAUGAAGUCCUGGGGGUUCGAUUCCUCAGUACCA
rnacentral:tRNA from 1 species